UGAACCUGAAACCGUUACGGGGGAAGCGGAUCGCGUUGGAUUGGUGGGCGCUUGUGUGUUCAGCCUUCGGGUGCAUUGGCACAAGUGCUUAUCCGCUGUGAGUUUUCGGGGGUCGAUUUUGGACCCCUGGGGACUGAGGGCUCCCCUUUUUGGGUGAGGACAGCGGAGUGACGACGCGAUACGACCCGUCUUGAAACACGGACCAAGGAGUCUAGCGCGGGUGCGAGUCAAAGGGUGCAAGCCCGUGGGCGAAGUGAAAGCGAGUUUAAAAACGAGCAGUUUGGGGCGGCAUAAGAUCGUUGAUCUUAAGACUGACCCAGAGCAGUUGCGCUGGGACCCGAAAGGUGGUGAACUAUGCCUGAGUAGGGCAAAGCCAGAGGAAACUCUGGUGGAGGCUCGUAGCGGUGCUGACGUGCAAAUCGCUCGUCGAACUUGGGUAUAGGGGCGAAAGACUAAUCGAACCAUCUAGUAGCUGGUUCCCUCCGAAGUUUCUCUCAGGAUAGCGGGCCGACAAGUUGUUUUGUGCGGUAAAGCGAAUGAUUAGCGCACUUGGGGGCGUUUAGCCUUCAGGCGAUUCUCAAACUUUCAAUGCGCAAGGGUGCCGCUGCUUAAUUGAGCGGUACCGGUAAAAACGUCGACCCAGUGGGCCACUUUUGGUAAGCAGAACUGGCGAUACGGGAUGAACCGUAAGCAAGGUUAAGGCGCCAAACUGCCCGCUUAUAGACCCCACAAAAGGUGUUGAUUCAUCGAGACAGCAGGACGGUGGCCAUGGAAGUCGGAAUCCGCCAAGGAGUGUGUAACAACUCACCUGCCGAAUGAAUUAGCCCUGAAAAUGGAUGGCGCUGAAGCGGGCGGCCGACACCUUGCCGUUUGAACAAGAAUUUCAGAUGAGUAGGAGGACGUGGUG
rnacentral:rRNA from 1 species